AUUGAACGCUGGCGGCAGGCUUAACACAUGCAAGUCGAGCGAGCGGCGGACGGGUGUGUAAUGUCUGGGAAACCGCCUGAUGGAGGGGGAUAAAUAGGGGAAACGGUCGAUAAUACCGCAUACCAUCAGAAGUGCCCAGAUGGGAUUAGCUAGUAGGUGGGGUAAUGGCUCACAUAGGCGACGACCCCUAGCUGGUCUGAGAGGAUGACCAGCCACACUGGGACUGAGACACGGUCCAGACUCCUACGGGAGGCAGCAGUGGGGAAUAUUGCACAAUGGGCGCAAGCCUGAUGCAGCCAUGCCGCGUGUGUGAAGAAGGCCUUCGGGUUGUAAAGCACUUUCAGCGGGGAGGCGUUACCCGCAGAAGAAGCACCGGCUAACUCCGUGCCAGCAGCCGCGGUAAUUC
rnacentral:rRNA from 1 species